CUGGCCUACGGGGCGCAGCAGUGAGGAAUAUUGGUCAAUGGGAGAGAUCCUGAACCAGCCAAGCCGCGCGAGGGAAGACGGCCCUAUGGGUUGUAAACCCCUUUUGUCGGAGAACAAAACCCGGGACGUGUCCCGGACUGCGUGUAUCCGAAGAAAAAGCAUCGGCUAACUCCGUGCCAGCAGCCGCGGUAAUACGGAGGAUGCGAGCGGUAUCCGGAUUUAUUGGGUUUAAAGGGUGCGUAGGCGGUCCGUUAAGUCAGCGGUAAAAUUGCGGGGCUCAACCCCGUCGAGCCGUGGAAACUGGG
rnacentral:rRNA from 1 species